rnacentral:rRNA from 1 species
UACGGAGGAUGCAAGCGUUAUCCGGAAUGAUUGGGCGUAAAGCGUCCGCAGGUGGCUGUGUAAGUCUGCUGUCAAAGCGCGAAGCUCAACUUCGUAAAGGCAGUGGAAACUACACGGCUAGAGUGCGUUCGGGGCAGAGGGAAUUCCUGGUGUAGCGGUGAAAUGCGUAGAGAUCAGGAAGAACACCGGUGGCGAAGGCGCUCUGCUAGGCCGCAACUGACACUGAGGGACGAAAGCUAGGGGGGCGAAUGGG